rnacentral:rRNA from 1 species
AGAGUUUGAUCCUGGCUCAGAUUGAACGCUGGCGGCGUGCUUAACACAUGCAAGUCGAACGCGAAAGGGGGCUUCGGCUCCCGAGUAGAGUGGCGCACGGGUGAGUAACGCGUGGAUAAUCUGCCCUCUUGUUCGGGAUAACUGCUGGAAACGGCAGCUAAUACCGGAUAAGCUCCACCAAUUGUAUGGUGGAGGAAAGGAGGCCUCUUCAUGAAAGCUUCCGCGAGGGGAUGAGUCCGCGUCCCAUUAGCUAGUUGGUGAGGUAACGGCCCACCAAGGCAACGAUGGGUAGCCGGUCUAAGAGGAUGACCGGCCACACUGGAACUGAAACACGGUCCAGACUCCUACGGGAGGCAGCAGUGGGGAAUAUUGCGCAAUGGACGAAAGUCUGACGCAGCGACGCCGCGUGAGGGAUGAAGGUUUUCGGAUCGUAAACCUCUGUCAGGAGGGAAGAAAGCGCAUGGCGCCAAUCAGCCAUGCGUUGACGGUACCUCCAAAGGAAGCGCCGGCUAACUCCGUGCCAGCAGCCGCGGUAAUACGGAGGGCGCGAGCGUUAAUCGGAAUUACUGGGCGUAAAGCGCGCGUAGGCUGUUGUGUAAGUUGGGGGUGAAAUCCCACGGCUCAACCGUGGAACAGCCCUUGAUACUGCGCGACUUGAAUCCGGGAGAGGGUGGCGGAAUUCCAGGUGUAGGAGUGAAAUCCGUAGAUAUCUGGAGGAACAUCAGUGGCGAAGGCGGCCACCUGGACCGGUAUUGACGCUGAGGCGCGAAAGCGUGGGGAGCAAACAGGAUUAGAUACCCUGGUAGUCCACGCUGUAAACGAUGGAUGCUGGAUGUCGGGGAGUAAUCCCCGGUGUCGUAGCCAACGCGAUAAGCAUCCCGCCUGGGGAGUACGGUCGCAAGGCUGAAACUCAAAGAAAUUGACGGAGGCCCGCACAAGCGGUGGAGUAUGUGGUUUAAUUCGAUGCAACGCGAAGAACCUUACCUGGGUUUGACAUCCGGGGGAUCCUCCCGAAAAGGGGGAGUGCCCUUCGGGGAGCCCC